rnacentral:sRNA from 1 species
GCCUCCCCGCCCUCCCCAUCUGGCACUUCGCGGCCACCGCAGCUACCGGGACGCUCCUGGAGCUCUGGGUCCUAGGCACCUGGAGGUGUGAGCGCUGCUCUGCGCCACACCAGUUGCCACAAAGGAGGACCGGAGUGCUCUGCGUGGGCGUGAGACCCGACCUCGGUCAGGUGAGAGAACAGAGAGACACUAUCUCGGAUGCGAGGGCGGCACUUUCGGGGGAUCUCUGCGUAGCGUUUUUGUUUUUUUGUUUUUCCUGAGCCCAGGGACCGGGAAGUGACAGAGACUGUGGGAGUCUGUGGGCCAGCUUUCCCCCUGGGUAGGUGUAUGAAAGCUGCAAACACAGUUGCAUCAGGAGACCUUUCAGGAAAACCUGCUGCUGUUUUCUCCUUUGCUGCUAAUUUGAAGCAAGAAUCCUGUGCUCCAAGAAUCAGGUGGUGGAGCAGCUUCUGAGACCUGGGGUUUUUCAGGAACUAACUUGCCCAGUUCUUGGGAACAGAGAUUCUGGCCUAGUCUCCUGAACUGCCAAUUUGAAGCCUGUCCUGGAGUCAGCCUGUCUCAGACUAAAAUGGAGAAGGACACUUUCUGGAAGUUGCACAUCACAUCUGCAGGCACCCAAAAGCCGGGCUCCAUUUUCAUCUGGUUAAAGAAAGAAUAUGUUUGCAUAUUUUCACAUAUAUUUGGAUUCCUGCAAAAGACCAGAAGAGUAGAAUGGAUCUUCUGAAGCUGAACCUUCUAAAGGUGGCUGGCUAUAAACACACAUGUGGAACUGGAACUGGAUUUCAGUCCUCUGCAAGAGCAACAGACUCUUUUAAUACCAAGCCUUAAAAUGAUGUUGCUGAUGGGAACACUAGAGUCCCAACUGAUAAUAGGAAGUUAUUUCAUUUAACUAGAAUUUUUUUCUCAGUUACUUGGCAGUGAAUUUAUAAACUCAUAAGCUCAUAAACUCAUUAAGCUGAAUAGCUUAAUUAGCAAAAACAGACAAUGUUUAUUAGAUUCUGAGGUGGGCUCAAGAGAUUUCAGAACUGAUCAAUGGAAAAGAUAUGGAACGGGUUUUGUGUGGACAGCAUCUUAACAGUUUGUUGUAAUAGAAUUCCUUCACACAUGGCAUUAUCGAUGGCUACAGUUCUUGAUGGAAUGAGUAAGGAUGGGGUGAUACCCAAGAAGGAAGGAAAGCACAGCAUACAAAGUGGAGAGGGUCAUAGAAGGAUGCUACAUAUCAUAUGAUGUCCUGCAGCACCACAGCCAGCAGUUAAACCAGAUAGAUGCAAAAGAUAGCAACACUGAAGGGCCCUUAUAGCUGUAGCAUUUAUUUCAUCAAUAGCUAGCAUCUACUGGGUACAUUUUUUUCCUGGAAGAAAAAAUUGCAAAACCUGUAAAUGGCCAAAAAUAUUUUUAUUGAGGCAGUGUUACAAACAAUUGGAUAUGUAAACUUUUCAUAUCAGCAUGAGUAGGCUCUUGAGCUCACAAGUUGUAGGCUUGUGGAAAGAAAGAACUUAGGACUGGAGAUGCAGAAAAAAUGGUAAAAUGUACUUGUCUAAUCUGCACUGAGUCCUAGAUCUGACUCCCACCACCACACAGCUCAUUGUAGGCCAGUGGUUUUCAACAUUCCUAAUGAAGCCACCCUUUAAUACAAGUCCUCAUGUGGUGAUUACCCCCAAUGACAAAAUUGUUUCCAUUGCUACUUCAUAACUGUAAUUUUGCUACUGUUUUGAGUCAUAAUGUAAGUAUAUGUUUUCCAAUGGUCUUGGGUGAACCCUGUGAAAGGGUUGAGGGGGGUACAACCCACAGGUUGUAAGCUGCUGUUCUAUGCCUAGGACAGCCACAGUUAUAUGAUACCCUGUUUUGGGAGGGGAGAAGAAAGGAAAGAGUAAGAGGGGGAAAUAAAAGAAAGGAGAAAAGGAAAUAACUUGGGAUGGGGAUAGUCAUCUUUGGUUUAUUUGUGUAACAAUUCACACGACAGUAAUACAAUUCACUGGCCAGUGGCCAGUGGGCUAUCUCAACAAGGAAGGCAUUGUUGGGCAAGUCUGGCUACCUGACUUCAAUCCCUGGAACCCACACAAAAAUAGGAGAGAACUCACCCCUCAAAGUGUCCUCUGACUUCACAUAUUCCUCUCCAGACCCUGCAUAUUAAUAAUAAAUGAAAAUUAGAAAUAAAAAAUUCAUUGGUCAAAGAGCGACUAUUUACCUCUUAGAUUCUCUAGGCCCAGAUAAAACCUCAACUCUCUGUUCUUUGGCAGGUAACUUCUAAAAGUCAAAGAAUUGUUUGUUUAAGAUGAUGAGAAUGUCAGAAGUCUUUGAGAUUAGCUGGAUGCCAGGGAAUGGGACAGUGUUUGCUGUUCUGGGCACUUCCAGGAGGAAGUGGGGUUAUCUGUUGUUAAAAAUGGCCCAGACUUUGCAUUUACAUGUUUGAAUCUUCACCUGCUGCUGGUUGAAAAUGGCUGGUCUGGUGAAAAAUAUGAUUCCUAAAAGAAAUACAUGGUUUCACUUCAGGCAUCAAUGAGGGAACACCAGUUAGAAUUGUGAAUCUGUAUGCCAAAGGUGUUCAAGGGAGAAUGUCAACAAGGAAGUCUCAUAAAGGGGCCAGAGGAAUUUGGGACUUGCUAGUGAUAUCUAUUCUAAGCUAUACUUUGGGAUAUGUGGAUGCCACAGAACGAUAGCAACUUUCUCUUUAAACUUUGACAUGUUACUAAAAUUUAGAUUAAAACCAUAAUCCCGCUGUGCUACAUUCCGGUGGAUGGCAUAAAGAAUAUUUACUUCACUGCAUAGUCAUUUAGGAGCUCAGGUUAAAAGAGAAGCCCACCAUCCUGAAAUGGUGCCAUCCAAACUAUUAUAGACACUGGAGCAAGGAAAUAAAAUCUGAAUGGUGACACAUCCUUACAGUGAUCAGAAUUCAGAGCUUUAGAAGAACUACAAAAUGUGGGCGGGGAAGAAUAGGAUACACAAUAGUGGAGGAGUACUAUGUGGUAAUUCUACAGCUACAUUGGGAGGGGGUUAAAAUUUUAUUUUAGUGUGUGUGUGUGUGUGUGUGUGUGUGUGUGUGUGUGUG